CUCUUCCCCACUACUCCCCGUCUGUUGCUUCUCUGUCUUCCUCUGGAGAAAAAAUUUCACGGUUCAAUCCCCUUAAAUAUUCUUUUGUUUAGCCCUUCGCAUACGAACUGGUAAGAGUUCGGGUGUGUUGCAUUGCAUAGACGAGCGAGCAGAGCCCAGGAAACAGGGAAGCCCUUCAGAAUAUUUUGAGGACAUCUAUAAACACUUCAGUUUCGUGCUUCUGUAAACAUUGUAGUUGUUUCUAAUCUCUAGUAGUAAUCAACCUAAUACAUGGCCAUGCCUUAUUGUGAUAUAUGCGUCGAGGGAGAGGGCAUACUCCAUUUGGAGACGAAAUCCAAUUUUCUCACCAGAAGACACCAUUGAGGAAAUUUUUGUCACAAAAAGUCGUUUUUGUUGUAGUGACGAUCGUAUCUUUUCCCAGUGGCAUUCUUUGUGGAGGACUAUUUGCUUAUUCUGGUGGGAAGCUGUUAGUAGGUUAUGUUGUAAUUUAUCACAGGCACAACAUAACGUGUAUGAAGAAACAAGUUUUUAGUAUCGGUAUUUGCAUCCCCACGAUCCCACUUACUUUUAUUCCUUGUUGGGUGUUGAGUUAUCUGACUGCUAACUCCCCCGUCAGGGAAGCAAAGACUUCCUAGUCUCUAAAUUGGCAGCCCAUUGCCGUAGCAGCAUCUAUUGCUGCUAGGGGUAAAAUGCUCUCAUGGGGGAAUCGUAUUUACCAGUGGAAAGAGUUUCCUUUAAUUUGAGUGGUUUGGAGAUGCUGAAAAGCUUACAAAGGCCCUCUUCUCUUUUGCUAGCAAGCUGGCCCCUGUGAUUAUUUUUGUUGAUGAGGUUGACAGUUUGCUCGGUGCUCGCGGAGGUGCUUUUGAGCACGAAGCAACUAGAAGGAUGUGCAAUGAGUUUAUGGCAGCUCGGGAUGGAUUGAGAACAAAAGACAGCCAGAGAAUCCUCAUCCUUGGUGCCACAAAUUGGCCAUUUGACCUUGAUGAUGUUGUUAUUCAUCGUUUACCUAGAAGGUCAUUUUUUUCAGCAAUAUCUUUCUCUCUCAUCAAUGUGCCUCGUCCGCAUUUUCGCGAAGCUUUUGGGAUGGAAUGCAGUAGCAUUUGCUUGUCUAUGAGGGGAAGAUAUUGGGUCAUUGUAAUCUUUGAUUUGUCAUUUGUGAUCAACCUAAUCUUUCCGUUCACUAUUUGUGUGUUAAUUU